AUAAAUAGAUCCUGUUUUAAAAGGAUCCAAUGGAUGCAAUGGAUCCAAAGGAUCUGAUGGAUCCAAAGGAUCUGAUGGAUCUGAUAGAUAUCUAUUUAUCCAUCGCAUCCUUUGGAUCCAUCGCAUCCAUUGGAUCCUUUUAAAACAGGAUCUAUUUAUCC